UGUGAACUCGAAGAGUAGGGCGGGACACGUGGUAUCCUGUCUGAAUAUGGGGGGACCAUCCUCCAAGGCUAAAUACUCCUGACUGACCGAUAGUGAACCAGUACCGUGAGGGAAAGGCGAAAAGAACCCCGGCGAGGGGAGUGAAAAAGAACCUGAAACCGUGUACGUACAAGCAGUGGGAGCACCUUCGGGUGUGACUGCGUACCUUUUGUAUAAUGGGUCAGCGACUUAUAUUCUGUAGCAAGGUUAACCGUAUAGGGGAGCCGCAGGGAAACCGAGUCUUAACUGGGCGUUAAGUUGCAGGGUAUAGACCCGAAACCCGGUGAUCUAGCCAUGGGCAGGUUGAAGGUUGGGUAACACUAACUGGAGGACCGAACCGACUAAUGUUGAAAAAUUAGCGGAUGACUUGUGGCUGGGGGUGAAAGGCCAAUCAAACCGGGAGAUAGCUGGUUCUCCCCGAAAGCUAUUUAGGUAGCGCCUCGUGAACUCAUCUUCGGGGGUAGAGCACUGUUUCGGCUAGGGGGUCAUCCCGACUUACCAACCCGAUGCAAACUACGAAUACCGAAGAAUGUUAUCACGGGAGACACACGGCGGGUGCUAACGUCCGUCGUGAAGAGGGAAACAACCCAGACCGCCAGCUAAGGUCCCAAAGUCAUGGUUAAGUGGGAAACGAUGUGGGAAGGCACAGACAGCCAGGAUGUUGGCUUAGAAGCAGCCAUCAUUUAAAGAAAGCGUAAUAGCUCACUGGUCGAGUCGGCCUGCGCGGAAGAUGUAACGGGGCUAAACCAUGCACCGAAGCUGCGGCAGCGACACUAUGUGUUGUUGGGUAGGGGAGCGUUCUGUAAGCCUGCGAAGGUGUGCUGUGAGGCAUGCUGGAGGUAUCAGAAGUGCGAAUGCUGACAUAAGUAACGAUAAAGCGGGUGAAAAGCCCGCUCGCCGGAAGACCAAGGGUUCCUGUCCAACGUUAAUCGGGGCAGGGUGAGUCGACCCCUAAGGCGAGGCCGAAAGGCGUAGUCGAUGGGAAACAGGUUAAUAUUCCUGUACUUGGUGUUACUGCGAAGGGGGGACGGAGAAGGCUAUGUUAGCCGGGCGACGGUUGUCCCGGUUUAAGCAUGUAGGCUGGCGGAUGGAGCUGAGACCAGUCGAAGAUACCAGCUGGCUGCAACUGUUUAUUAAAAACACAGCACUGUGCAAACACGAAAGUGGACGUAUACGGUGUGACGCCUGCCCGGUGCCGGAAGGUUAAUUGAUGGGGUUAUCCGUAAGGAGAAGCUCUUGAUCGAAGCCCCGGUAAACGGCGGCCGUAACUAUAACGGUCCUAAGGUAGCGAAAUUCCUUGUCGGGUAAGUUCCGACCUGCACGAAUGGCGUAAUGAUGGCCAGGCUGUCUCCACCCGAGACUCAGUGAAAUUGAACUCGCUGUGAAGAUGCAGUGUACCCGCGGCAAGACGGAAAGACCCCGUGAACCUUUACUAUAGCUUGACACUGAACAUUGAGCCUUGAUGUGUAGGAUAGGUGGGAGGCUUUGAAGCGUGGACGCCAGUCUGCGUGGAGCCAACCUUGAAAUACCACCCUUUAAUGUUUGAUGUUCUAACGUUGGCCCCUGACCGGGGUUGCGGACAGUGUCUGGUGGGUAGUUUGACUGGGGCGGUCUCCUCCCAAAGCGUAACGGAGGAGCACGAAGGUUAGCUAAUCCUGGUCGGACAUCAGGAGGUUAGUGCAAUGGCAUAAGCUAGCUUGACUGCGAGCGUGACGGCGCGAGCAGGUGCGAAAGCAGGUCAUAGUGAUCCGGUGGUUCUGAAUGGAAGGGCCAUCGCUCAACGGAUAAAAGGUACUCCGGGGAUAACAGGCUGAUACCGCCCAAGAGUUCAUAUCGACGGCGGUGUUUGGCACCUCGAUGUCGGCUCAUCACAUCCUGGGGCUGAAGUAGGUCCCAAGGGUAUGGCUGUUCGCCAUUUAAAGUGGUACGCGAGCUGGGUUUAGAACGUCGUGAGACAGUUCGGUCCCUAUCUGCCGUGGGCGCUGGAGAAUUGAGGGGGGCUGCUCCUAGUACGAGAGGACCGGAGUGGACGCAUCACUGGUGUUCGGGUUGUCAUGCCAAUGGCACUGCCCGGUAGCUAAAUGCGGAAGAGAUAAGUGCUGAAAGCAUCUAAGCACGAAACUUGCCCCGAGAUGAGUUCUCCCUGAGACUCGACGCGAUGGAAGGA
rnacentral:rRNA from 1 species